UACAGAGGGUGCAAGCGUUAAUCGGAAUUAUUGGGCGUAAAGCGCGUGUAGGUGGCUGCGUACGUUUGAUGUGAAAGCCCUGGGCUCAACCUGGGAAUUGCAUUGAAUACGGCGUAGCUAGAGUCGGAUAGAGGGUGGUGGAAUUUCCGGUGUAGCGGUGAAAUGCGUAGAUAUCGGAAGGAACACCAGUGGCGAAGGCGACUGCCUGGAUCCAGACUGACACUGAGGCGCGAAAGCGUGGGGAGCAAACAGG
rnacentral:rRNA from 1 species